UAUCUCUGUAGAGUCUGCAUAUCAAUAAGCGGAGGAAAAGAAACUAACAAGGAUUCCCUUAGUAACGGCGAGUGAAGCGGGAAGAGCUCAAAUUUGAAAUCUUCAAGGUUCUACCUUGACGAAUUGUAGUUUAAAGAAGUGUUUUCUGUUAGAUGAGUAGCAAAAGUUCCUUGGAAUGGGACAUCAUAGAGGGUGAGAAUCCCGUAUUUGGUUAUUCAUUUUAGCUUUGUGAUACACUUUCAAAGAGUCGGAUUGUUUGGGAAUGCAGUCCAAAAUGGGUGGUAAAUUUCAUCUAAAGCUAAAUAUUGGCGAGAGACCGAUAGGCGAACAAGUACCGUGAGGGAAAGAUGAAAAGAACUUUGAAAAGAGAGUUAAACAGUACGUGAAAUUGUCAAAAGGGAAGCGUUUGACACCAGUGUUGUUUUUCCGAAAAUCAAUUACGAAUGGCUUGAUUUUGUGUUGUAUUGACCUUAUCAGCUUUCUUCACUUUUUUCGAGUUUUUCUUAAUGCACUUUUCGGUUAACAAGUCAACAUCAAUUUCUUUUGUUGUAAAAGAGUAUUCGGAAGGUGGCUUUCUUUUCGGAGAAAGUGUUUAUAGCCCUAUACUUCUACAAUCGGAGAGAUUGAGGUCUGCAGCGUAGAUCCUUCGGGGUUAGAUACACUUGUGCUAAGUUGUAGCUUUUCAUAGACAACUUGUUGACUAUGUUUAGUCAUGCGGCUUACUCGCUUGUGCUAUUUUACCUACGCUUAGGAUGUUGACUGAUAUGUAGUCGUA
rnacentral:rRNA from 1 species